rnacentral:rRNA from 1 species
AGAUCUGGAGGAAUACCGGUGGCGAAGGCGGCCCCCUGGACAAAGACUGACGCUCAGGUGCGAAAGCGUGGGGAGCAAACAGGAUUAGAUACCCUGGUAGUCCACGCUGUAAACGAUGUCGACUUGGAGGUUGUUCCCUUGAGGAGUGGCUUCCGGAGCUAACGCGUUAAGUCGACCGCCUGGGGAGUACGGCCGCAAGGUUAAAACUCAAAUGAAUUGACGGGGGCCCGCACAAGCGGUGGAGCAUGUGGUUUAAUUCGAUGCAACGCGAAGAAC